UACAGAGGGGGCAAGCGUUGUUCGGAAUUACUGGGCGUAAGGGCGCGUAGGCGGCCGCCUAAGUCAGACGUGAAAUCCCUCGGCUCAACCGGGGAACUGCGUCUGAUACUGGGUGGCUUGAAUCCGGGAGAGGGAUGCGGAAUUCCAGGUGUAGCGGUGAAAUGUGUAGAUAUCUGGAGGAACACCGGUGGCGAAGGCGGCAUCCUGGACCGGCAUUGACGCUGAGGCGCGAAAGCCAGGGGAGCAAACGGG
rnacentral:rRNA from 1 species